AAAUAACAAAUUAACAACACGAAGAUCCUCCUCCAAUCUUAAAAAAAAAAAAACCCUAGAGACUCUCAAUUCCCAAUUGUUCGACGAGAAUGUUGCGUUUCCUGGGAAACACCUUGGUUAAGUCUUGUGGCAAGGGGAGGCUGCAGUAUCGUGACUUUUCAUCCGUGAGUGAGAAAAAAGCUGUCUCGAAAUUUUAUGGAUACUGCUUCGGAGGGGCUUUUUUUGGUGCUGGAUUCCUGCUCGCUUGUGUGACAACAAGCCCCGUCUCAAAGGGACUUCGGAAAAUUGAACAGGUUUACAUUGACGAUUUGCCAAAUGCGGAUAAAAUAGACGCCAGGGUGGCCGAGUUGAUUACCUUGAGAGAGGAAUUAGUGAAGUGAUUGUAUUUGGUUGUGUCUGCUUGUUUCUGUUAUGUCUGCCAAUCUUCUUGGCUUUUGUCUUUAAAUCUUAAAUCUUAUUUAAAGAUCCAGACUUCUUUAACCAAUGAAGUGGUGGUAUUUGGUUGUGUCUGCUAUGUCUUUGUUUUGUAAACAUAUAUAUAUAUAUAUGUCUUUGUGUUGUGAUCUUAAUAUCACUGUAAUAACACUACUACUUCAUAGCUUGUCUUUAAA